rnacentral:rRNA from 1 species
AUAUUGGGCGUAAGGGCUCGCAGCGGUUUCUUAAGUCUGAUGUGAAAGCCCCCGGCUCAACCGGGGAGGGUCAUUGGAAACUGGGAAACUUGAGUGCGAAGAGGAGAGUGGAAUUCCACGUGUAGCGGUGAAAUGCGUAGAGAUGUGGAGGAACACCAGUGGCGAAGGCGACUCUCUGGUCUGUAACUGACGCUGAGGAGCGAAAGCGUGGGGAGCGAACAGGAUUAGAUACCCUGGUAGUCCACGCCGUAAACGAUGACUGCUAAGUGUUAGGGGGUUUCCGCCCCUUAUUGCUGAACCUAACGCAUUAAUCACUCCGCCGGGGGAGUACGGUCCCAAGACUGAAACUCAAAGGAAUUGACGGGGGCCCGCACAAGCGGUGGACCAUGUGGUUUAAUUCAAACCAACGCAAAAAACCUUACCGGGUCUUGACUUCCUCUGACCACCCUAAAAAUAGGGCUUUCCCUUCGGGGACAGAGUGACAGGUGGUGCAUGGUUGUCGUCAGCUCGUGUCGUGAAAUGUUGGGUUAAUUCCCGCAACGAGCGCAACCCUUGAUCUUAUUUGCCAGCAUUCAUGUGGGCACUCUAAGGUGACUGCCGGUGAAUAACCGGAAGAAAGUGGGGGAUGACGUCAAUCAUCAUGCCCCUUAUGACCUGGGCUACACACGUGCUACAAUGGACACAACAAAGGGCUGCAAGACUGCAAGGUUUAGACCAUCCCAUAAAUCUGUUCUCAUAUUCGGAUCUCAGUCUGCAACUCUGACUGCCUGAA